rnacentral:rRNA from 1 species
UACCUGCAGCUCUAGUGGUGUCCGCUAUUAUUGGGCCUAAAACGUCCGUAGCCGGCUUAUUAAAUGCCUGGGUAAAUCGUACGGCUUAACCGUACGAAUUCCGGGUAGACUGAUAAGCUUGGGACCGGGAGAAGCUAGAGGUACUCCUGGGGUAGAGGUGAAAUUUUGUAAUCCUAGGGGGACCACCAGUGGCGAAGGCGUCUAGCUAGAACGGGUUUGACGGUGAGGGACGAAGCCCUGGGGAGCAAACGGGAUUAGAUACCCCGGUAGUCCAGGGUGUAAACGCUGCUUGCUUGAUGUUAGUCGGGCUCCGAGCCCGAUUAGUGUCGGAGAGAAGUUGUUAAGCAAGCUGCCUGGGAAGUACGGCCGCAAGACUGAAACUUAAAGGAAUUGGCGGGGGAGCACUGCAACGGGUGGAGCGUGCGGUU